ACGAACGCUGGCGGCGUGCCUAAUACAUGCAAGUUGAGCGAUGAAGAUUGGUGCUUGCCCCAAUUUGAAGAGCAGCGAACGGGUGAGUAACGCGUGGGGAAUCUGCCUUUGAGCGGGGGACAACAUUUGGAAACGAAUGCUAAUACCGCAUAACAACUUUAAACAUAAGUUUUAAGUUUGAAAGAUGCAAUUGCAUCACUCAAAGAUGAUCCCGCGUUGUAUUAGCUAGUUGGUGAGGUAAAGGCUCACCAAGGCGAUGAUACAUAGCCGACCUGAGAGGGUGAUAGGCCACAUUGGGACUGAGACACGGCCCAAACUCCUACGGGAGGCAGCAGUAGGGAAUCUUCGGCAAUGGACGAAAGUCUGACCGAGCAACGCCGCGUGAGUGAAGAAGGUUUUCGGAUCGUAAAACUCUGUUGGUAGAGAAGAACGUUGGUGAGAGUGGAAAGCUCAUCAAGUGACGGUAACUACCCAGAAAGGGACGGCUAACUACGUG
rnacentral:rRNA from 1 species